UUUACCAGUAUUUUUGAUAAAAUUUCCUGACAUUUCCCUGAUUUCUCUGAUUUUUCCCGGACUUCCCUGACUUAUCGCAACCCUAUAUUGAAUGAGUAAUCAGUAUAAUCUUGGCAUAUUGCUCAAGUGUUAUGCAAAUCUCAAUACAAGGAAAAAUCAUUAUAAUAAGAAAUAGUUAAUGAGAUAAAAAUGAAUCAAACCAUUUCACAUGGCACACUUAAAUCAUAUUUAUGUAAAUGUAAUCAAAUUAACAGCUUUUUAUUUGCUUCUCAAUAUUUAAAUAAUAAUCAUUAAUCUAAAUUUGUUGUUAUAAUAUGUAAAAACUAGUGUUUUAAACAUAAUUAUUUAAGUAUGUCUCAAAUUAGUUCCGCUUGAUGAAAUUUUAACGAAACUUUUAAAAUAACUUUUUGCAUUGAAGAGAAUGUUUGUAUAAUUAAAUAUAAUAAAACAGGAAAAAUUAAUCCAGCUUUUAAUUGCAUUUAUAAACAAAGAUGCUUAAUAUUAUACUAAUAAUGGUGUUUUACAAUUAAUAACAAGAGCGAUAAAAUCGCAUAUAAAAAGCCGAUGGAUUUUGAAAAUAUCAUAGCAUUCACAGUUCAACUUUCUCCACUUCAUCUUCUACAGCAAACUAAACUGAAAACUAGAAAUGGCCAGUUUCAAAGUAUUAUUUGUGCUUUUCGCAACCAUUUUAAUGUUCCUGGCUCCUGCUAUUAAUGCCUGUUCACCAAAUGGAACUCCAUGCCAACCCGAUGGAAGAACACCUUGUUGUACAGGAUUUUGUUACAAACAAGUAGGAUGGAAUAAAGGAGUUUGUGCUGUUCAAUAAAAAACUACCUUUAUAUUUUAAUGUCUUUCUUGUAAAAUUUGUAAUAUGUUUUGAUUUUUAAAUAAAAUACUUUUUACUUUCUUAAAAAA